AGGGAGUUUGAUCCUGGCUCAGGACGAACGCUGGCGGCGUGCCUAACACAUGCAAGUCGAGCGGGGACAUGCGACGGAGAUGAAGAUUUCGGUUGGAUUCAAAGAUGUAUUGUUCUAGCGGCGGACGGGUGAGUAACGCGUGAGCAACCUGUCCCUUACAGGGGGAUAACACAGCGAAAGUUGUACUAAUACCGCAUAAGACCACGGGUUCACAUGGACCAGGGGUCAAAGGAGCAAUCCGGUGAGGGGUGGGCUCGCGUCCGAUUAGAUAGUUGGUGAGGUAACGGCCCACCAAGUCGACGAUCGGUAGCCGACCUGAGAGGGUGAUCGGCCACAUUGGGACUGAGACACGGCCCAAACUCCUACGGGAGGCAGCAGUGGGGAAUAUUGGGCAAUGGGGGAAACCCUGACCCAGCAACGCCGCGUGAGGGAAGAAGGUUUUCGGAUCGUAAACCUCUGUCCUUGGUGAAGAGAGAGAGACGGUAGCCAAGGAGGAAGCCCCGGCUAACUACGUGCCAGCAGCCGCGGUAAUACGUAGGGGGCGAGCGUUGUCCGGAAUGAUUGGGCGUAAAGGGCGCGUAGGCGGCCCCUUAAGUCUGGAGUGAAAGUCCUGUUUUUAAGAUGGGAAUUGCUUUGGAUACUGGGGGGCUUGAGUGCAGGAGAGGUAAGUGGAAUUCCCAGUGUAGCGGUGAAAUGCGUAGAGAUUGGGAGGAACACCAGUGGCGAAGGCGACUUACUGGACUGUAACUGACGCUGAGGCGCGAAAGCGUGGGGAGCAAACAGGAUUAGAUACCCUGGUAGUCCCCU
rnacentral:rRNA from 1 species